AUUCAGGAGUGCUGCAGUCAGACGGGCUGCGAGAGGAAAAAGAGGGUGAAGGUGGGAAAUCAGUCAAUCAAAGGCUCACGCGGCUCACAUUUUUUUUUUCCUCUCGUCGUCUUGUGUGUGUUUUGCAGGAGAGAGGGAGAGCUGAUCCGAGCGGAGAGGAGGUGGACGGAUGGAUGGAUAGAGCGCUGGAGAGAGGAGGAGGAGGAGAAGCGUGUCUUGAGAUGAGUCCAGCGCCCGCACUCCUCCUAUCCGCACAGCUGACACCCCCACGGGAGAAGAAGAUAAAAAAAUAAAAAAAAAAAAGAAAGAAAGAAGGAGGGGAGUCGCACCCUGAAACCCGACAUCGUGCGGCCUCACCGGAAGCCUCACCUCUGGUUUCCUCUUGCAGCAACAGUUGGCGGAGCCAAGUGACGCACACGUUGAGAAAGCAGCGCCGGAGAAAGGGGAAGAUGGGAAGUAUGGAUGUCAGCGGCAGGUCGGUCCGUGUCGGAGGGGAGGGCGGUGCAGCAGGGACGGAUGUUGUUAUUGUAGCAGGCGAUGCUGCGUGCAGGUGGGGGUGAGCUGCACCUGAUUUCAAGGUAAAAUAUGCCACAGGUAUUAAAUAAGUGUCACAAAUGGGGUUAUUAAUUAACAGUUUGUAUCUGUCAACACUUAUUUCAUGGUGUGUAAGUGGUAAUUAAUAAGUAAAAUAGUUGAAAUUUACCCCAAAAUUACCGCACAAAUGAUUUCAAAUUGAAUGAAAAUCAUACAACAAGAACAUGCUUCUGUUUUCUGAGAAAUGUUUGACUUGUUUCUGUUUGACUUUUGCUGAUCAUGACAGUUUAUUUUCAGUAUCUGGCCAUUGUCCAGUCAGUAAAGAAGUUGGACAACUCGCAUCAAUUUGGUGUCCUGCUGAGGGGAAGUUGGACAGAAACCAGCUGGAAGUCUCCUGGAAAGCAAUUUAUGAACUGGUUGUUGCAAAAACAGCACAAAAUUAUUUCAUCGGGGUAAAAUUUAACAUAAUCUGAGGUAAUUAUUGUAGUAUCAUGGGGGUCAUUUCAAUGGAAUUUCAAAUACAUUACUUGGUAAUUACCAGCUUCGUACCAUGGAGCUUGCACACCUGUAAAAAGAAGUGUUGGCGCAUCAUUCAUGUCUUUCUAACAGUCUAACAGUUGAUUUCAAGAGCCUGACGUAUGUGUUUAACUUCCUCCCACAGUUACUCAACACUGAGGACACUAAAUGCCCCGUCCACUUUCUCUUGAAUGCAUCCAAAGUGUGCUUCACUGUGUACUAAUUUAAAUAAUCAUACAUUACAGUAGAACAAAUUAAAUAUACAGAGAAGAUCAAUCACCGCAUUUAUCAGUGGAGUUUGAGGCAUAAUUCUGCCAACUCAUGCACUGAUGGCGCCAAACAGAAAUAAUAUUCCAGCUCAUCAUCUGCUUGCGGUUGUUUGUGCGGAGCGUUGAACCAGAACUACAAAAUAAAGUAUAAAACAAAGACAUCGA